GAACUGUUAGCUCAGUUGGUUGAGCUUGGUGUUGAUAACAUCAAGGCUGCAGGUUUGAUCCCUGUUCGGUCCC
rnacentral:tRNA from 1 species